rnacentral:rRNA from 1 species
UACAUAGGGGGCAAGCGUUGUCCGGAAUCAUUGGGCGUAAAGAGCGCGUAGGCGGUCCGGUAAGUCCGCUCUGAAAGUCCGGGGCUCAACCCCGGGAGGCGGGCGGAUACUGUCGGGCUAGAGUCCGGAAGAGGCGAGUGGAAUUCCUGGUGUAGCGGUGAAAUGCGCAGAUAUCAGGAGGAACACCAAUGGCGAAGGCAGCUCGCUGGGACGGUACUGACGCUGAGGCGCGAAAGCGUGGGGAGCAAACAGG